rnacentral:rRNA from 1 species
AGGGGUGCGGAACACGUACGCAACCUUCCUUUAAGCGGGGAAUAGCCCAGAGAAAUUUGGAUUAAUACCCCAUAACAAUGUGAUCUGGCAUCAGGUAGCACUUAAAGAUUUAUCACUUAAGGAUGGGCGUGCGUCUGAUUAGGUAGUUGGUGAGGUAACGGCUCACCAAACCGACCAUCACUAACUGGCGUGAGAGCGCGACCAGUCACACGGGCACUGAGACACGGGCCCGACUCCUACGGGAGGCAGCAGUAAGGAAUAUUGGUCAAUGGACGCAAGUCUGAACCAGCCAUGCCGCGUGGAGGAUGAAGGCCCUCUGGGUUGUAAACUUCUUUUAUCUGGGACGAAACACUUCUUUUCUAAGGAGCUUGACGGUACCAGGUGAAUAAGCACCGGCUAACUCCGUGCCAGCAGCCGCGGUAAUACGGAGGGUGCAAGCGUUAUCCGGAUUCACUGGGUUUAAAGGGUGCGUAGGCGGACAUGUAAGUCCGUGGUGAAAUCUCCGAGCUUAACUCGGAAACUGCCAUGGAUACUAUAUGUCUUGAAUGUUGUGGAGGUUAGCGGAAUAUGUCAUGUAGCGGUG